rnacentral:misc_RNA from 1 species
UUAAAUAACAUAAAAAAUAAAAUAUAUAUUGACAUGUAUUAAACAAAGAUAUAUAUUAUUUUAUGUUGUAUAAAUAAAUUGGCAAAAUAGAGAUGGAARAUAAAAAUAUGGUCAAAGUAAUAAGAGUCUAUGGUGAAUGCCUAGGAGCUUUAAGGCGAARAAGGUCGUGGUAAGCUGCGAAAAGCUUGGGGGAGAAGCAAACAUUUAUUGAUCCCAAGAUUACCGAAUGGAGUAAUCCAGCUAGCAAGAUGCUAGCUAUCUAUUAUUUAAAUAAWAGAGGCGAUACC